GUUGUAUAGUCAAGUAAUUAAGUGCAUGUGGUGGAUGCCUUGGCAGUCAGAGGCGAUGAAAGACGUGAUAGCCUGCGAAAAGCUCCGGGGAGGCGGCAAAUAUCCUUUGAUCCGGAGAUGUCUGAAUGGGGGAACCCACCUACUUUAAGGUAGGUAUUGCAACAUGAAUACAUAGUGUUGCAAGGCGAACGAGGGGAAGUGAAACAUCUCAGUACCCUUAGGAAAAGAAAUCAAUUGAGAUUCCCUCAGUAGCGGCGAGCGAACGGGGAUCAGCCCAUUAAGUUAUGUGUGUUUUAGUGGAACGCUCUGGGAAGUGCGAACGUAGAGGGUGAUAUUCCCGUACACGAAAGGGCACACAUAAUGAUGACGAGUAGGGCGAGGCACGUGAAACCUUGUCUGAAUAUGGGGGGACCAUCCUCCAAGGCUAAAUACUCCUGACUGACCGAUAGUGAACCAGUACCGUGAGGGAAAGGCGAAAAGAACCCCUGUGAGGGGAGUGAAAUAGAUCCUGAAACCGCAUGCAUACAAGCAGUGGGAGCACCUUCGUGGUGUGACUGCGUACCUUUUGUAUAAUGGGUCAGCGACUUAUAUUCAGUAGCAAGGUUAACCGUAUAGGGGAGCCGUAGAGAAAUCGAGUCUUAAUAGGGCGUUUAGUUGCUGGGUAUAGACCCGAAACCAGGCGAUCUAUCCAUGAGCAGGUUGAAGGUUGGGUAACACUAACUGGAGGACCGAACCCACUGUCGUUGAAAAGCCAGGGGAUGACUUGUGGAUAGGGGUGAAAGGCUAAUCAAGCCUGGUGAUAGCUGGUUCUCCCCGAAAGCUAUUUAGGUAGCGCCUCGGACGAAUACCAUAGGGGGUAGAGCACUGUUUCGGCUAGGGGGUCAUCCCGACUUACCAAACCGAUGCAAACUCCGAAUACCUAUGAGUACUAUCCGGGAGACAGACUGCGGGUGCUAACGUCCGUAGUCAAGAGGAAAACAAUCCAGACCGCCAGCUAAGGCCCCAAAAUCAUAGUUAAGUGGGAAACGAUGUGGGAAGGCAUAGACAGCUAGGAGGUUGGCUUANNNNNNNNNNNNNNNNNNNNNNNNNNNNNNNNNNNNNNNNNNNNNNNNNNNNNNNNNNGAAGCAGCCACCCUUUAAAGAAAGCGUAAUAGCUCACUAGUCGAGUCGGCCUGCGCGGAAGAUGUAACGGGGCUAAAACUAUGUGCCGAAGCUGCGGAUGUAUACUUUGUAUACGUGGUAGGGGAGCGUUCUGUAAGCCGAUGAAGGUGUGUUGAGAAGCNNNNNNNNNNNNNNNNNNNNNNNNNNNNNNNNAUGCUGGAGGUAUCAGAAGUGCGAAUGCUGACGUGAGUAACGACAAAACGGGUGAAAAACCCGUUCGCCGAAAGACCAAGGGUUCCAGUCCAACGUUAAUCGGGGCUGGGUGAGUCGACCCCUAAGGCGAGGCCGAAAGGCGUAGUCGAUGGGAAAAUGGUUAAUAUUCCAUUACUUCUGUGUAAUGCGAUGAGAGGACGGAGAAGGCUAAAUCAGCCUGGCGUUGGUUGUCCAGGUGAAAGGAUGUAGGCAUGUAUCUUAGGCAAAUCCGGGGUACUCUAUGCUGAGAUCUGAUAGCAAGCUGUACUUGUACAGCGAAGUGGUUGAUGCCAUGCUUCCAGGAAAAGUCUCUAAGCUUCAGUUACACAGGAAUCGUACCCGAAACCGACACAGGUGGUCAGGUCGAGUAGACCAAGGCGCUUGAGAGAACUCUGCUGAAGGAACUAGGCAAAAUGGUACCGUAACUUCGGGAGAAGGUACGCUGUUGUUGGUGAUGGAACUCGCUUCCUGAGCUGACGACAGCCGCAGAAACCAGGCCGCUGCAACUGUUUAUUAAAAACAUAGCACUCUGCAAACACGAAAGUGGACGUAUAGGGUGUGAUGCCUGCCCGGUGCUGGAAGGUUAAUUGAUGGGGUUAGCGUAAGCGAAGCUCUUGAUCGAAGCCCCAGUAAACGGCGGCCGUAACUAUAACGGUCCUAAGGUAGCGAAAUUCCUUGUCGGGUAAGUUCCGACCUGCACGAAUGGCAUAAUGAUGGCGGCGCUGUCUCCAGCAGAGGCUCAGUGAAAUCGAAAUCGCUGUGAAGAUGCAGUGUACCCGCGGCUAGACGGAAAGACCCCGUGAACCUUUACUGCAGCUUGACACUGAACUUUGACCUUACUUGUGUAGGAUAGGUGGGAGGCUUUGAAGCUGGAACGCUAGUUCCAGUGGAGCCGUCCUUGAAAUACCACCCUGGUAAUGUUGAGGUUCUAACUCUGUCCCGUGAUCCGGGACGAGGACCGUGUCUGGUGGGUAGUUUGACUGGGGCGGUCUCCUCCUAAAGAGUAACGGAGGAGUACGAAGGUGCGCUCAGCGUGGUCGGAAAUCACGCGUAGAGUAUAAAGGCAAAAGCGCGCUUAACUGCGAGACCCACAAGUCGAGCAGGUACGAAAGUAGGUCUUAGUGAUCCGGUGGUUCUGUAUGGAAGGGCCAUCGCUCAACGGAUAAAAGGUACUCUGGGGAUAACAGGCUGAUACCGCCCAAGAGUUCAUAUCGACGGCGGUGUUUGGCACCUCGAUGUCGGCUCAUCUCAUCCUGGGGCUGAAGCAGGUCCCAAGGGUAUGGCUGUUCGCCAUUUAAAGAGGUACGCGAGCUGGGUUUAGAACGUCGUGAGACAGUUCGGUCCCUAUCUACCGUGGGCGCUGGAAAUUUGAGAGGAUCUGCUCCUAGUACGAGAGGACCAGAGUGGACGAACCUCUGGUGUACCGGUUGUGACGCCAGUCGCAUCGCCGGGUAGCUAUGUUCGGAAGGGAUAACCGCUGAAAGCAUCUAAGCGGGAAGCCUACCUCAAGAUAAGAUUUCCCUAGGACUUUAUGUCCUCUAAAGAGCCGUUCGAGACUAGGACGUUGAUAGGUUGGAUGUGGAAGCAUAGUGAUAUGUGAAGCUGACCAAUACUAAUUGCUCGUGAGGCUUGACUAUACAACACCCAAGCAGUUG
rnacentral:rRNA from 1 species